rnacentral:lncRNA from 1 species
GGAGUUCCUGGGCCAGGGAUGGAAUCUGAGCCACAGUAGCAACCCAAGCCACGCAGUGAUAACACCAGAUCCUUAUUCUACUGCAACACAAGAACCAAGGCCCCCCCUCCCCCCCGCCCCAAUCACAUUGUUAGGCACCUGCAAAAUUACUCUUUGUUUUGCCUUAUUAUUCUCCACCCAGUUGUCUUGCUGCUGCUGCUGCUGCUGCUGAGCUUCUUUGACCCUCUCGCAAAUUCUUCCCACAUUUGCAGCAGCCCCUUAGCACGACUUGACAUGGAGUGAAAGAAGACUCAAGGCGCUUUAGUUGUGUGUUAAAGUUUUGCUACAAUCUGACGAGGGCAGAGGCCCCAGUAGGCCAAUUAGAAGUUCAUUUUCAGCUAGGGAUAUUUUAUAAGAAUAUGUCAGGAGUUUCCGUCGUGGCUCAGUGGUUAAUGAACCCGACUAGGAUCCAUGAGCACAUGGAUUCUAUCCCUGGCCUCACUCAGUGGGUUAAGGAUCCGGUGUUGCCAUGAAUUGUGGUGUAGACAAGGCUCGGAUCCUGCGUUGCUGUGGUGUAGGCCAGCAGCGGCAGCCCUGAUUGGACUCCUUGCCUGGGAACCUCCAUACGCCAUGGAUGUGGCCCUAAAAAGACCAAAUAUAUAUAUAUACAUUUAUAUAUAUAUCAUGGUUAGGCUGAGUGCAAAAGGAAUCACUGGUCCCAACAGUCAGCUCUUCAGCUGGGUGGGUAGGUGACAUUUCCCAGCUUGUGGAUUUUAUCAUGGAUGCCAAUCUCUUUCCAGAAGGAGAAUCCAAAUUAUAUCAGGCUAAAAAGCCUCUGUUCCAAGCUUGGUGUGGAGAAUUUUUUUUUUUUUUUUGGCCACACCCACGGCAUGUGGAAGUUCCGGGGCCAAGGAUCGAACCUGUGCCUCAGCAGGGACCAGAGCCACAGCAGUGAUAAUGCUGGAUCCUUCACCACUAGGCCACGAGGGAACUCCCAGAGCAGUUUUUCAUUUUUUUAAUCCCUCUUUUUGGCCUGGUCUUAGUUAAAUACCCGACUUGGUCAAGAAGGUCUAUCUCGUUGGGUUUUUGUUCUAGGAACACGAUUCAAAGUGUCCCACUUCAGCGCUACCCAAACAACGGACGCAAAGCCCUCCUGGGGUCUGUCAGAUGCAGAUGCUGGAGCAGCAGGUGCGGGGCGGGCCCAGGACUCUGCCUUUCUCACCAGCUCCUGGGUGCUCGUGGUGCGGCUGGCCCACACUGAGUGGGGAGGGUGGUGGUAGUUGCUUUGUGCAUUUCUUCCGGAUGAUGGGUUUGAGCGUAGGCUUAAACAUAUAUGACACAUGCACGGGUGUGGUGAUUGGCAGUUUUUAUACACAGUGAUGUGAUUCCUUUGAGCCAGUGUCCAGAGCCACAAUUUCCAGAAUUUCCCAGCAAUCUGCCGUGGUACCCAUUUCUUGUGGUCUCUGCACCUGUGCCACCAAAGUAUGUAAGCUGAGAUCUUUGAGGUCCCUUAUGUGGGUGCAGCCAGAGGCAGGGAUAAACACCCAAAGACUCCCCUGCUGUCUGCUUAAAAAAUCUGAAGUUGGAGUUCCCUCGUGGCUCAGCGGGUUAAGGAUUCAGCAUUGUCACGGCCGUGGCUCAGGUUGCUGUUGUGGCACCAGACCGGGAACAUCUGUAUGCCGCAGUCAUGCCUGUUGGAGAAAGAUAAUGAAAACAAACUCUCUCCAUUGUCAAAAAACCAGAGCUGGAGUUCCCACGGCAGCUCAGUGGGUUAAGAACCUGACAUAGGACCCGUGAGGAUGUGGGUUUAAUCCCCGGCCUCACUCAGUGGGUUAAAGGGUCUGGUGUUGCCAUGACUGCGGCGUAGGUCACAGAUGCAGCUCCGAUCUGGCGUGGCUGUGGUUGUGAUGCAGGCUGGCAGCUACAUCUCGGAUUUGACUCCUAGCCUGAGGACUUCCAUAUGCCGCAGGGGCGGCAGCCCAAGAAAGAAAAAUAUUUUUUCCAUUAUGGCUUAUCAUAAAAUAUUGAAUGCAGUUUCCUUUCUGCACCUUUUGUUUUUCACGCCUGGCAUGGGACGCCUCUACUGUUCCACCUAUUCAAAAAGGAAUAAAAUGACCCACUGGUACCUCCUUACCUCCAACCGUCCGAGUCCCCAGUUUCUCUCCAUUUAACAGACGGUCACCCAUUCCAUGAACUAAAUUCGUAAAAUGCCAAUAUUCUAAUGUGCACAUUUUUGCAAAGUGAUGUCAUCAUUUGUCAGACCAUUUUCCUGGGAAUUCUCUGGGCUCCUCGCUGCUUCUCGAGUCUGUACUUUUUGUGCAACUAACACAAUAGCUGGAACCAACGGCAGGCCAACGGCUUCGGUUUGAACGUCCGUCAUGUUACCCAGAACAGGGGUGUGGGCUUGUGUGCUUGGUUUUCCCUGCGGAAACUUCUUUGUCUUCCACGGAACACACGGAGGGGUUCCGGUCCAGCACACAGAGCCCG